rnacentral:rRNA from 1 species
GUUGCCUACGGGACGCAGCAGUAGGGAAUCUUCGGCAAUGGGCGAAAGCCUGACCGAGCAACGCCGCGUGAAUGAAGAAGGCCUUCGGGUUGUAAAAUUCUGUUAUAAGGGAAGAAAGGUGAUAGGAGGAAAUGACUAUCAAUUGACGGUACCUUAUGAGAAAGCCACGGCUAACUACGUGCCAGCAGCCGCGGUAAUACGUAGGGGGCAAGCGUUAUCCGGAUUUACUGGGUGUAAAGGGAGCGCAGGCGGCGCGGUAAGUCUGAUGUGAAAGCCCGGGGCUCAACCCCGGGACUGCAUUGGAA